GAUGAAGAACGGCAGCGAAAUGCGAUAAGUAAUGUGAAUUGCAGAAUUCAGUGAAUCAUCGAAUCUUUGAACGCACAUUGCGCCCGCCAGUAUUCUGGCGGGCAUGCCUGUUCGAGCGUCAUUUCAACCAUCAAGCCCCCGGCUUGUGUUGGGGACCUGCGGCUGCCGCAGGCCCUGAAAAGCAGUGGCGGGCUCGCUGUCACACCGAGCGUAGUAGCAUACAUCUCGCUCUGGGCGUGCUGCGGGUUCCGGCCGUUAAACCACCUUCAUAACCCAAGGUUGACCUCGGAUCAGGUAGGAAGACCCGCUGAACUUAAGCAUAUCAAUAAGCGGAGGA
rnacentral:misc_RNA from 1 species